rnacentral:tRNA from 1 species
CGACUGCUUAGCAAGGGGUUGAUCGUGGGGCUGCUGGGCGCAGCCAGCUUGGCGGCGCAGGCCGACCAGGCCGGUGGCGGCGGCUGCGGUUGG